UUUUUUUUCCAAUACCGUGUUUCCAGGAGCGUGUUCGCCUGGAAACUGUGCGGAUUCCGUAAGGAAUCAUGUACACGAAAUCGGAACGACAGAACAGAUUUCUUACUAGAAAAUUGAGUUCACUACAAUUCCGUUCUGUAAGAAAUUUCUCUAUCCGUCCCAUAUAAACGGAAUGUUGCCUCGGUCGCAAGCUGAUUUGCUUAAUUUAAUCGAUAUUUCGUUACUUUAAUGCGACUAAAGCAGUAAUGUGUGCAAUUUAUGCAAUUCUAUCUUACCUAUAAUAUUAUUUUGAAUACUCAAAAAAUACUGAUAAGAGUAAAAUAUAUUUUGUUACUAAAAUUCCAUUGUUCUGGCGACAUGGGAUGGGUAGAGACAAUUUUUACGGAAUAGCAUGUUCAGCUGAGUUGGUUGAAUCUAAAAAUUGAAACGAAUAUUCAGAAACAUUUUUUGUAAAUCUACAACGAUGGAUGAAGAAAUAGUGUUAUUACUAAUGUUAAAAUUAUUGCGAAAGCAGAAAUAAACAAGAAAACGAAAAUUCUAAAUACAGUCAAUAUUUACACAAAGAAUGAGGUGGCGUACCAAGGCUCAAAUGACAAUUUAGUCCUUGAAAAAUGCAAUCCUGACGAAAAUGAGAAGUUUCAUAAGUGUUUGUUUAACCUUUACAUUGUUGAGCGUUUGCAGAAAUUCGUUGAGAAUUUAGAAACGCGGCCAUGUCGUGCACUACUUGAAAAUCGGAUAUGUAAAAGAAUGUUUGCUAAAUGGAAGAAAAACACUUGCGUUAUGGAGUUGAGAAAAACGGUUUUUGGGCGUCUUUAAGCCGUUUGCGUAAAAGCCUUACAAAACAUUUACUGAGAUUCAAUAAUUCGCCAUGUUGGAACAGCGUUUAUUGAAUAGAAGAAAAAUAUUUGUCGGUAUUGAGAAAAGCAUUUGCUAAAUGUUUGAAAAAUCUGACAGUGAACUCUCUGCACGAAGGCGCAUCCACGUUUACUGAGCAUCCUUUGGAAAGCGUUACUUUAGCAUUACAGAACUUUCAUAAAACGAUAUAUACUGUAUUUUAUAAGCGUUCUAAAAGUGUUUAAAACCUAAUAGUGUUCUGUAAGUGUUCUUAUAAAGUUUGAAAACGUAUAAACUCUUAAAAAAUCGUCAUUGAACGGUUGUCAACGUUUUAUAAAGUUCCGUAUUUUCGCCAGGGAAACAAUCGAAUGAGAAGUCAUUCUUCAAUUAUUUCAGAAUGACAUCAAUUAUUUAAAGAA